rnacentral:rRNA from 1 species
AACGAACGCUGGCGGCAUGCCUAACACAUGCAAGUCGAACGAAACCGUCGGGUCUAGUGGCGGACCUGUGCGUGACGAGUGGGAACCUGCCCUUAAGUUCGGAAUAACUCACCGAAAGGGAUGCUCAUACCGGUGAAUGUCUUCGGGCCAAAGAGUUAUCGCCUUUGGAUGGGGCCGCGUUGGAUUAGCUGGUUGGUAGGGUAAAAGCCUACCAACGACAAGAUGCAUAGCUGGUGUGAGAGGAUGCUCAGCCACGCUGGGACUGAGACACGGACUAGACUCCUACGGGAGGCAGCAGUGGGGAAUACUGGACACUGGGCGAAAGCGUGACAAAGCAAUGUCGCGUGAGUGAGGAAGGCCGUAGGGUUGCAAAGCUCUUUUACCCGGGAUGAUAAUGACAGUACCGGGAGAAUAAGCACCGGCUAACUCCGUG